rnacentral:rRNA from 1 species
AUUGAACGCUGGCGGCAGGCCUAACACAUGCAAGUCGAGCGGAUGAAGGGAGCUUGCUCCUGGAUUCAGCGGCGGACGGGUGAGUAAUGCCUAGGAAUCUGCCUGGUAGUGGGGGAUAACGUCCGGAAACGGGCGCUAAUACCGCAUACGUCCUGAGGGAGAAAGUGGGGGAUCUUCGGACCUCACGCUAUCAGAUGAGCCUAGGUCGGAUUAGCUAGUUGGUGGGGUAAAGGCCUACCAAGGCGACGGUCCGUAACUGGUCUGAGAGGAUGAUCAGUCACACUGGAAGUGAGACACGGUCCAGACUCCUACGGGAGGCAGCAGUGGGGAAUAUUGGACAAUGGGCGAAAGCCUGAUCCAGCCAUGCCGCGUGUGUGAAGAAGGUCUUCGGAUUGUAAAGCACUUUAAGUUGGGAGGAAGGGCAGUAAGUUAAUACCUUGCUGUUUUGACGUUACCAACAGAAUAAGCACCGGCUAACUUCGUG